rnacentral:tRNA from 1 species
CAAGAUAUAGCUUAACUAAAGCAUCUCGCUUACACCGAGAACAUGCCCGUGUAACCCGAGCUAUUUUGA